rnacentral:rRNA from 1 species
UACGUAGGGGGCAAGCGUUGUCCGGAUUUAUUGGGCGUAAAGGGCUCGUAGGCGGCCAACUAAGUCGGAUGUGAAAUCCCCAGGCUUAACCUGGGAACUGCAUCCGAUACUGGAUGGCUUGAAUCCGGGAGAGGGAUGCAGAAUUCCAGGUGUAGCGGUGAAAUGCGUAGAUAUCUGGAGGAAUACCGGUGGCGAAGGCGGCAUCCUGGACCGGCAUUGACGCUGAUGAGCGAAAGCCAGGGGAGCAAACGGG